ACGGGGUGCAGCAGGCGCGAAAACUCCGCAAUACACGAAAGUGUGACGGGGGGACCCCAAGUGCUCUCACGUAAGUGAGUGCUUUUGUGAAGUGUAAAUAGCUUUGCGAAUAAGAGCUGGGUAAGACCGGUGCCAGCCGCCGCGGUAACACCGGCAGCUCGAGUGGUGAUCACUAUUAUUGGGCCUAAAGCGUCCGUAGCCUGUUUGGUAAGUCCUUGGGCAAAUCCUGUCGCUUAACGAUAGGAAUUCUGGGGAUACUGCUAGACUUGAGGCCGAGAGAGGUCGGAGGUACUUCUAGGGUAGCGGUGAAAUGCUAUAAUCCUAGGGGGACCACCAGUGGCGAAAGCGUCCGACCAGAGCGGGCCUGACGGUAAGGGACGAAAGCCAGGGGCGCGAACGGGAUUAGAUACCCCGGUAGUCCUGGCCGUAAACGCUGUGGGCUAGGUGUUGCAUGCUCUACGAGGGCAUGCAGUGCCGAAGAGAAGUUGAUAAGCCUACCGCCUGGGAAGUACUAUCGCAAG
rnacentral:rRNA from 1 species